rnacentral:rRNA from 1 species
UACGUAGGGUGCAAGCGUUGUCCGGAAUUAUUGGGCGUAAAGAGCUCGUAGGCGGUCUGUCGCGUCUGCUGUGAAAAUCCAGGGCUCAACCCUGGACCUGCAGUGGGUACGGGCAGACUAGAGUGCGGUAGGGGAGAUCGGAAUUCCUGGUGUAGCGGUGGAAUGCGCAGAUAUCAGGAGGAACACCGGUGGCGAAGGCGGAUCUCUGGGCCGUAACUGACGCUGAGGAGCGAAAGCAUGGGGAGCGAACAGG